rnacentral:rRNA from 1 species
GAUGAACGCUGGCGGCGUGCCUAAUACAUGCAAGUCGAGCGAACAGACGAGGAGCUUGCUUCUCUGACGUUAGCGGCGGACGGGUGAGUAACACGUGGAUAACCUACCUAUAAGACUGGGAUAACUUCGGGAAACCGGAGCUAAUACCGGAUAAUAUAUUGAACCGCAUGGUGCAAUAGUAAAAGACGGUUUUGCGGUCACUUAUAGAUGGAUCCGCGCCGCAUUAGCUAGUUGGUAAGGUAACGGCUUAUCAAGGCAACGAUGCGUAGCCGACCUGAGAGGGUGGUAGGCCACCCUGGAGCUGGGCCGCGGACCAGGCUCCUACGAGACGCAGCAGUCGGCAACGGUACGCAGUGGGCGAGAGUCUGGCGGAGCGGCGCCGCGUGUGUUGUGAAGGUCCUCCGUUCGUAAAGCCCUGUUAUUAGUUAAGAACAAAUGUCUAAUGUACUGUGCACUGAGUGACGGUACCGGAUAAGAAAGCACCGGCUAACUACGUG